GAGGAGGGUCGGACGGUCGCGUCGCGGUUGCCUGGCAACGCGCGGCGAGGAAAGUCCGAACUCCGCAGGGCAGGGUGGUCGGUAACGCCGACCCGUCGCAAGGCGGGGAAAGUGCCACAGAAAACAAACCGCCCCGGUCUCGGGGUAAGGGUGAAACGGUGGGGUAAGAGCCCACCGCCCCGGCGGUGACGUCGGGGGCACGGCAAACCCCACCCGGAGCAAGGCCAAAUAGGAGGGGAUGGACUGGCCCGGUCCGCUUGACCCUCGGGUAGGCCGCUAGAUCCCAUCGGCAACGGUGGGACCAGAUAAAUGACCGUCUCGGCCUCACUCUUGUGAGGCUACGACAGAAUUCGGCUUACAGACCCUCCUUGCUU
rnacentral:RNase_P_RNA from 1 species